AUUGAACGCUGGCGGCAGGCCUAACACAUGCAAGUCGAGCGGCAGCGGAAGGAAGCUUGCUUUCUUGCCGGCGAGCGGCGGACGGGUGAGUAAGGUAUGGGGAUCUGGCCGAAGGCGGGGGAUAACCCCUGGAAACGGCGGCUAAUACCGCAUAAUCUCUAAGGAGCAAAGUGGGGGACCUUUCAGGCCUCGCACCUUCGGAUGAACCCAUAUGAGAUUAGCUAGUAGGUGGGGUAAUGGCUCACCUAGGCGACGAUCUCUAGCUGGUCUGAGAGGAUGAUCAGCCACACUGGGACUGAGACACGGCCCAGACUCCUACGGGAGGCAGCAGUGGGGAAUAUUGCACAAUGGGCGCAAGCCUGAUGCAGCCAUGCCGCGUGUAUGAAGAAGGCCUUCGGGUUGUAAAGUACUUUCAGUCGUGAGGAAGGUGUUAAGGUUAAUAACCUUAGCAAUUGACGUUAGCGACAGAAGAAGCACCGGCUAACUCCGUGCCAGCCGCCGCAGUAA
rnacentral:rRNA from 1 species